rnacentral:rRNA from 1 species
UGGGGAAUCUUGGACAAUGGGGGCAACCCUGAUCCAGCCAUGCCGCGUGAGUGAUGAAGGCCUUAGGGUCGUAAAGCUCUUUCGCCUGUGAAGAUAAUGACGGUAGCAGGUAAAGAAACCCCGGCUAACUCCGUGCCAGCAGCCGCGGUAAUACGGAGGGGGUUAGCGUUGUUCGGAAUUACUGGGCGUAAAGCGCACGUAGGCGGACCAGAAAGUUGGGGGUGAAAUCCCGGGGGCUCAACCCCGGAACUGCCUCCAAAACUAUUGGUCUAGAGUUCGAGAGAGGUGAGUGGAAUUCCAAGUGUAGAGGUGAAAUUCGUAGAUAUUUGGAGGAACACCAGUGGCGAAGGCGGCUCACUGGCUCGAUACUGACGCUGAGGUGCGAAAGUGUGGGGAGCAAACAGGAUUAGAUACCCUGGUAGUCCACACCGUAAAACGAUGAAUGCCAGUCGUCGGGUAGCAUGCUAUUCGGUGACACACCUAACGGAUUAAGCAUUCCGCCUGGGGA